CUGCAGUUGCUUUGGAAGCAAUAUCAAACGCGUUCUCGAGCAAGUAUGCUGGCGCUCAGAUUUUGUACAGCUCUUAUCCUCGUUUUCUUGAGCAUCAGGAAAACAUAUUCGUUUAAACCCAAGGACCUGCGUGAUGGUUGUAACACCACUGAUCUCAAAAGGUUUUGGAACACAACAGAGCCUAUAUGGACCGUUACUACAGCAGACACUGCGAAUUCUACCCUUUCUUGUCUAGUAGACGUCAAGGAAAAUGACACUGGAAGUUACACAUAUUUCCAAAGAUCUCACUACGUCUCAAGCACACAAGAGAAGACGACUGUUGAGUUCAAGGGUUCUGUUUCUCCAGGAAACAACUUUGAUCGAUCAGCCAUGCUACUUGAUUAUACAAAUGGCACACGGUAUGCCACGGAGCAGUUGCUGUACGAAAGUUCCGAUAGCAGCUGUGGUGUCAUUAAGUUCUUUCAGCACCCCGGAGUAACCAGACUUGACCUACGAGUGAGAAAUUCUUCGCUCGAAACGGGACGCCAAACUAUUUGCUUCCAAUAUUUUCUUGCAGUGUAUGACUAUUACAAAACCACGUAUCCCUACCCGGAUAUUAAGAAUAGGACACUCUAUAAUUCUUCAUGUCAAGCAAUACUUAAAUCACCUCACAAUGGAUGUUAACCGACAUAAUCAUUACACUUUAGUAUGUUUCACAGAACAGGAGCCUGGGACUAACGUUUUUCGCGAUUAUCAUGACUUUUCAUUCUUUUUCGCUUUCGUUUCUGACUUGCGCGAUACCGCGUACAUUAUGUAGUAUUUCGUGCGCCAUCGAAACAAUUUCUUUUUUUUUUAGGGCGUUUCUGCUCUAUUGGUUUCCUUUCUCCAAAUUUCAGCGAUGAUUUUACGGCUCUGCCAACCUUUUUCACUUUACUGUUUUUGCAUAAGGUAUACUCCCUUAGUUUAAUGCAUAAUUGAAGGGGAAUACGAAUCAAGUACUCCAAUGUGCAAGAGUAAUUAAAAGCUGAAGCUUCUUUUCA